UUCCAGACUCCUACGGGAGGCAGCAGUGGGGAAUAUUGCACAAUGGGGGAAACCCUGAUGCAGCGACGCCGCGUGAGCGAUGAAGUAUUUCGGUAUGUAAAGCUCUAUCAGCAGGGAAGAAGAUGACGGUACCUGACUAAGAAGCCCCGGCUAACUACGUGCCAGCAGCCGCGGUAAUACGUAGGGGGCAAGCGUUAUCCGGAUUUACUGGGUGUAAAGGGAGCGUAGACGGCGAUGCAAGCCAGAUGUGAAAGCCCGGGGCUCAACCCCGGGACUGCAUUUGGAACUGUGUGGCUGGAGUGUCGGAGAGGCAGGCGGAAUUCCUAGUGUAGCGGUGAAAUGCGUAGAUAUUAGGAGGAACACCAGUGGCGAAGGCGGCCUGCUGGACGAUGACUGACGUUGAGGCUCGAAAGCGUGGGGAGCAAACAGGAUUAGAUACCCCAGUAUAA
rnacentral:rRNA from 1 species